UAACACGUAGGGUGCGAGCGUUGUCCGGAAUUAUUGGGCGUAAAGAGCUCGUAGGCGGUCCGUCACGUCGGGUGUGAAAUUCCAGGGCUCAACCCUGGACCUGCAUUCGAUACGGGCGGACUAGAGUUCGGUAGGGGAGACUGGAAUUCCUGGUGUAGCGGUGAAAUGCGCAGAUAUCAGGAGGAACACCGGUGGCGAAGGCGGGUCUCUGGGCCGAUACUGACGCUGAGGAGCGAAAGCGUGGGGAGCGAACAGGAUUAGAUACCCUGGUAGUCCUAGCCGUAAACGUUGGGUGCUAGGUGUGGGCGGACAUCGACCCCGUCCGUGCCGAAGCUAACGCAUUAAGCACCCCGCCUGGGGAGUACGGCCGCAAGGCUA
rnacentral:rRNA from 1 species